UACAGAGGUCUCAAGCGUUGUUCGGAAUCACUGGGCAUAAAGCGCACGUAGGCGGUCUGUUAAGUCAGGUGUGAAAGCCCCCGGCUCAACCGGGGAAUAGCAUUUGAUACUGGCAGACUCGAGGAUGGUAGGGGUGAGUGGAACUCCAGGUGGAGCGGUGAAAUGCGUAGAUAUCUAGAGGAACACCGGUGGCGAAAGCGGCUCACUGGACCAUAACUGACGCUGAGGUGCGAAAGCUAGGGUAGCAAACGGG
rnacentral:rRNA from 1 species